CCUACGGGGGACAGCAGUAAGGAAUCUUCCUCAAUGGGCGAAAGCCUGAUGCAGCAACGCCGCGUGGGUGAAGACGGUCUUCGGGUAGUAAAACCCUUUUGUUAGAGAAGUAAGUGCGUGAGCGUACUUGUUCACGUUUCUACGGUAUCUAAACAGAACGCCUCGGUGAACUACGUGCCAGCAGCCGCGGUAAUACGUAGGUGCCAAGCGUUAUCCGGUUUUAGUGGGCGUAAAGGGACCGCAGGCGGUUUGUUAAGUCUGGUGGAAAAGCCUGCGGCUUAACCGGAAUAGUGCAUUGGUAACUGGGAGACUGGAGUACAGAAGAGGAGAGAGGAACUCGAGGUGUAGCGGUGAAAUGCGUAGAUAUAAGGAAGAACACCGAUGGCGAAGGCAGCUCACUGGUCUGUAACUGACGCUGAGGUUCGAAAGCGUGGGUAGCAAACAGGAUUAGAUACCCUGGUAGUC
rnacentral:rRNA from 1 species